UUUUUUUUUAAUUGAGACGGAGUCUCGCUCUUUUGCUCAGGCGGAGGUUGAAGAGAGCAGAGAUUGCGCCACUGCGCUCUAGCCUGGGUCACAAGAGCGAAACUCCGUCUCAAUAACAACAACAAAAAUAACCCAGGAGUGGCUCAAGAGUCCAGUGUGGGACGAAAAUAUAAACAGAGGAAGACAACAUAUGUCAUUGGGGAGGCUGGGGGAGCUAGACAAAAUUCACACGGGAGGGGCAGGGCUGAGAUGAUAUUGUGCCCUGCGUCUGUGCAAAUGUCGGGACCAGAAUCCACUAUAAGUUUCAUUCUUCGGAGACACGGAGGCUCUGCACUGGAGGCCGGGACUCAGGCGUGGACGAGAAUCUUUUCCUUAUUCACCGGGAAAGCUGUGUCUUGUGCAAACAAGUCAUAGAAACUUGAUGGGAGUCGGGGAGGGACUGAAGGAUGGAAGCAAGGUUCUGGGAAAGAGUAAGAAGUAGUGAAGGCCGAGGGGCCCCCAUCACAGGCCGACGGGGUAAGACUUCGAGAGAGCCUGAUCCUGGGGUCUUCUGAGACUCCACCAGGAGCCAGAGAGGGCAGGGAGUCAAAUCCGGCUAGGAGGUUACAAAUUGCUUUUCCUGGGCUGGGCUCCUG
rnacentral:sRNA from 1 species